UCUCCUUCCGUUCAUGUGUUUCACUUUACCUUUCUCCAUUUUCUGCUUUAGGGCUUCUGCUUUCCUCGGCCAUUGUCGUUGUGUGCCUUCAAUUCUCUCGAUUUCUUCCUUUUUGUUUCGCAAUUUUAUCUCCGGCGAGACACGAUCUUUGAUUUUUUGCAAUCAUUGUUCGCUGUUCUUCUCUAUUUUUGGCUGCGAUCUGUGCGUUGCAUCGAUUUUGUCUUUUUCGCCGUUUUGUUUCAAGCCUCUCUUUUGAGAGGAUCGGUGCAUAUUAAGAUUUUCGCUCCAAUUUGGGUGAUCUCUCUUCUGAGAGAAUUGGUGCAUGUUGAGCUUUUCCAAAUGCACAGAGCCUUUUAAAAAUACUGCUACCCUCUACAAAACAAGCCAGUAAAGCUCAAAUAUUGCAGACAGCAAAGAAGGUAACAAUUGAAGAGUUGGCUUUUUUAGAUCCAAAUUUGUACAAGAACGAAACCUUUCUCCGCAAAGAAUCUGUCAAGCAGUUUGACGCACACUACGAUUGGUGGUACAGUGCUUGCCUAAACAGUGCCAAACAAAUGCACAAAUAUCGAACAAUUGGGCAAUGGAUUUGUCAAAAACAUGCAAACCAGCUACCAACUCCUAGGGGAGAAAAUGUUCGAUGGAAUAAUUUCUUAGAUGUAUUGCCACAUCCCCAAGGAUUAGGUCCACUUUUUACAGGUACAAACUAAACUUGGUCCUUGAGGACGAAACCAAUGAAAUGAAUGCUUUAAUUAUUGGCAAAUCUGGUGAGAAGCUUUUUGGCACAACCUGCAGAGAUUUAGUUCGGGUUUACCCACAUACUCUGGGGGCGAUUUCUAAAGACGAUAGAGCUGCAUGGAUGACAAGAGGAAGUACAAAGGGAUGCAUUUGGCUCCCACUUUUGAGGUUCCUCCCAUGAGCAGGCACCCAAAAACUGGCGACUGAAAUAUUUUCAUCAUGUGUUGAAGCAACAAAAAGACUACGCAGUUGCAUCGUGAAGUACAUAGCUCACUUCUCCUAUUAAAUGUACCCCAUUGUUCAGAUCCUUCGCAGCAGGAAUUCCCAGCCCAAAAUUUUCUGAAAGUUUUAAUGAUUGCCACCUGCUUUUGGCAGGUGAAAAUUUGAUGUCAUCUUCAACUUUCCUCAUGCAAGCCAUUACUCUAGCCUACGCGAAAAGGACUUUGAGCUUAUUGAAAGGAAAAUAAAGUCAAGUAUACAAAUGAGUUAGAAAGUAAGGUGUGACUAUUUUGAAGCACCUGUGAUGCUGCUGUUAUAUUUUGGGUACGUUUUCUGUCCUGCUUUUUUCCAGUUUGGAGAUGCACUGAUAAUUGUUGGAUUAAAAUGGAUUUGUAUUUUUUGGGAAGAAAUGAGAGGAGUCGUUGGAAUUUUAGAAAGCUUUGUGUUUCUACCUUUUAUGUGACAGAGGGAAUACAGACAGGGAGAGGAAGAGAGAAAACAUUAGUUUAGAUUGCAAUUUUAUGAGUUUUUAUGUUAGUGUUGGAACCAAUGUAUUUUGUUGGGAAAUUGAUAAUAUGUAAAGUUAUUAAGAUUUUGGAAAGAUUUGUCUUUCUCAGUUUUAUCUGUCGGAGGGAACACAACUCUUACAUAUAUGAUUUCAAGUUGUCCCUUUAGAAAUUCAAGCUUUAUUGAAUACAUGAGGUGUAAGAAACUGUUUGGGAUAUUUUCAAGUUUUUCCGAUUCCUGAAAAAAAAAAAAAGCAUGCUUAAGAGUAAUUAUAUUUUAAUUUUUAUUGAAUUCAGGUAACCAUCUUUAGGUUUUUUGCUUUGAUUUGAAGAAUUUCUUACCCAGGAAAGCCAGGGCUUCCUGAUGAGUUCUUUGGGUUCCAUAUCUGGCAUCUUUGUUUUGUUCAAAUUUGGGGCGUUUGUGAUUUGGGAUUUAUGUGCUGUCUUAUCAACUCUUAAUGUUGAAUUAGGUAGCUAUUAAUGUUGGAUUAAUCAAAGUUGGGCAUCAGUUCAUAUGUUUUUCAAUGUUUCUAUUCUGAUUUAAUAACGUGAUUUAAUAGUGUGAUGCUGACUUAGGCUAUAAAUUCAGAGGCUUUUGAAUAGCCAAAUUUGCAACGAAUUUCAGAGGCUGUUGUAUCAUUAGCUGAAAUAUACUACGUAUAAUCCUUAGACAUCAUUUUUCACUUUGAUUAAGAUGUGUGCCUACCUUCUCAGUUUUUACCAUUGUAGAUGCGGGUGGUAUAAAUUUUUACUUAAAAAAUUGAACUCGAAAUGAAAACCCAGGUGAAAAAGCAUGGAAACAACUCUUGCGUAGAAAUGACUUCUGGGAAUGAAUUUUCUUGAGAUUUGAUCCCAGCUAUUUGAUAAGAGUCGGGUUUUAUAACUUAAACCAUUUCCAAUAACUAUUUGGAAAUAGGAUGAA